rnacentral:tRNA from 4 species
UGGGAGGUAGUGUAACGGUAGCACUGCAGACUCUGGCUCUGCCUGUCUAGGUUCGAAUCCUAGCCUCCCAGCCA